rnacentral:snRNA from 1 species
GUGCUUGCUUCGGCAGCACAUAUACUAAAAUUGGAAUGAUACAGAGAAGAUUAGCAUAGCCCCUGCGCAAGGAUGAGAUGCAAAUUUGUGAAGCGUUCUAUAUUUAA